rnacentral:rRNA from 1 species
AACGCGAAGAACCUUACCAAGGCUUGACAUCCCCUUGACCGGCACAGAGAUGUGCCCUCUCCUUCGGGAGCAAGGGUGACAGGUGGUGCAUGGUUGUCGUCAGCUCGUGUCGUGAGAUGUUGGGUUAAGUCCCGCAACGAGCGCAACCCUUAUCGUUAGUUGCCAGCAGGUAAAGCUGGGCACUCUAAUGAGACUGCCGGUGAUAAACCGGAGGAAGGUGGGGAUGACGUCAAAUCAUCAUGCCCCUUAUGUCUUGGGCUACACACGUGCUACAAUGGUCGGUACAAAGGGGAGCGAAGGAGCGAUCCGGAGCAAAACCUCAUAAACCGAUCCCAGUUCGGAUUGCAGGCUGCAACUCGCCUGCAUGAAGUCGGAGUUGCUAGUAAUCGCAGAUCAGAAUGCUGCGGUGAAUGCGUUCCCGGGUCUUGUACACACCG